GCUAAACGCGAAGAACCUUACCUGGACUUGACAUCCCCUGAAUUACUCGUAAUGGAGGAAGCCCUUCGGGGCAGGGAGACAGGUGGUGCAUGGUUGUCGUCAGCUCGUGUCGUGAGAUGUUAGGUUAAGUCCUGCAACGAGCGCAACCCUUAUCAUUAGUUGCUACCAUUAAGUUGAGCACUCUAGUGAGACUGCCCGGGUUAACCGGGGGGAAGGUGGGGAUGACGUCAAAUCAUCAUGCCUCUUAUGUCUAGGGCUACACACGUGCUACAAUGGGUGAUACAAAGAGAUGCAAUACAGUGAUGUGGAGCAAAACUAUAAAAUCACCCUCAGUUCGGAUUGUAGGCUGAAACUCGCCUACAUGAAGCUGGAGUUGCUAGUAAUCGCGAAUCAGCAUGUCGCGGUGAAUACGUUCCCGGGUCUUGUACACACCG
rnacentral:rRNA from 1 species